rnacentral:misc_RNA from 1 species
AACCUUAUGGACCUGCGGGCGUAUACCUGCGGAGGGAUCAUUACAGAGUUGCAAAACUCCCUAAACCAUUGUGAACCUACCUUCUACCGUUGCUUCGGCGGGCGGGCCUAGCGCCCCCCCGGCCCCCCGCGGGCGCCCGCCGGAGGAUAACCAAACUCUUGACAUCAGUGGCCUCUCUGAGUAUUCUUUACUGAAUAAGUCAAAACUUUCAACAAUGGAUCUCAGAUCGGAAGAGCACAC